GGAUUAGAUACCCUGGUAGUCCACGCUGUAAACGAUGAGAACUAGACGUUGGGUGGAUCACCGCUCAGUGUCGCAGCUAACGUAUUAAGUUCUCCGCCUGGGGAGUACGACCGCAAGGUUGAAACUCAAAGGAAUUGACGGGGGCCCGCACAAGCGGUGGAGCAUGUGGUUUAAUUCGAUGCAACGCGAAGAACCUUACCUGCCCUUGACAUCCUGGGAAAGUUCUAGAGAUAGAUCUGUGCCUUCGGGAACCCAGUGACAGGUGCUGCAUGGCUGUCGUCAGCUCGUGCUG
rnacentral:rRNA from 1 species